rnacentral:rRNA from 1 species
AGAGUUUGUUCCUGGCUCAGGAUGAACGCUGGCGGCGUGCUUAACACAUGCAAGUCGAGCGAAGCAGUUAAGAAGAUUCUUCGGAUGAUUUUUAACUGACUGAGCGGCGGACGGGUGAGUAACGCGUGGGUGACCUGCCCCAUACCGGGGGAUAACAGCUGGAAACGGCUGCUAAUACCCGCAUAAGCGCACAGAGCUGCAUGGCUCAGUGUGAAAAACUCCGGUGGUAUGGGAUGGGCCCGCGUCUGAUUAGGCAGUUGGCGGGGUAACGGCCCACCAAACCGACGAUCAGUAGCCGGCCUGAGAGGGCGACCGGCCACAUUGGGACUGAGACACGGCCCAAACUCCUACGGGAGGCAGCAGUGGGGAAUAUUGCACAAUGGGGGAAACCCUGAUGCAGCGACGCCGCGUGAGCGAAGAAGUAUUUCGGUAUGUAAAGCUCUAUCAGCAGGGAAGAUAAUGACGGUACCUGACUAAGAAGCCCCGGCUAACUACGUGCCAGCAGCCGCGGUAAUACGUAGGGGGCAAGCGUUAUCCGGAUUUACUGGGUGUAAAGGGAGCGUAGACGGCAAGGCAAGUCUGAUGUGAAAACCCAGGGCUUAACCCUGGGACUGCAUUGGAAACUGUCUGGCUCGAGUGCCGGAGAGGUAAGCGGAAUUCCUAGUGUAGCGGUGAAAUGCGUAGAUAUUAGGAAGAACACCAGUGGCGAAGGCGGCUUACUGGACGGUAACUGACGUUGAGGCUCGAAAGCGUGGGGAGCAAACAGGAUUAGAUACCCUGGUAGUCCACGCCGUAAACGAU